CUCGAGACCUGACAGUGCGCUCCAGCGAGAAAGCGAUUCAGCCGUAGCAUCAUUGAUGAGGUUCUGACGAAGAGAGAGCUUCUUCAGGUUCUGACGAAGAGAGAGCUUCUUCAGGUUCUAGACCUCUCUAAUCCGAGAAUCAAAACUCGAAAGUCGAUUUUCCGUCAGGUCCAAUUC